AUGACACAACAGAUAGAUCUCUUCGAGGAUUUGCCAAGUAUUUAUUAACGUUCAACGAAUAUGAAAUCUUUAGUUCUUUAUUUCGUCACAUUUUUAUUAGUGACGUCACCGUUUUUAACAAUCGCUCAUCCAUUGGGUAUCAAGGGCGGUGAAUUACUUAAUAUAUCGAAUAAUGGAACCUCAGUUAAGUUGCCUGAAAUUGAUUUGAUUGAAGUAGGAAAUUUACCAGAUGAUUUACUCAAACUACCUGGUACAUUGCUCGGUGAAUCGGAUACGAAGUCUCCGUCAAUAAAGCCUGCCAAAACAGAAUGAGAAAGAAAAAUCGAUCAUUAAUCCCUUAGAUUCGCCGAAAAUCGUCACGGAAGAGGAAAAUGGCACACGUUUGUUUCAUUUAAAAUCGUUGAUUUAAUUUUCUUAAAAAAAAAAAAAAAUAUUUGCUCGAAAUAAUGACAAAUUCUUUAAUACAUUUGUUUUCUUUUUUUGUGAAAUAAAGAUACAUAUGAAUAUUUGCAAAUAAAUAUGUUCAAGUUAA